rnacentral:lncRNA from 1 species
AGAAUGGGCAGGUGAAGCCUGAAGCCACGGCGCACUCUGUUGCAUGUGUGGAGCAGCUCAGUGGAAUGUGGUGCUGAAUUCCAGGUUGGCCUCCAGCCCAGGUUUAUGAAGGAAUCCAUUUUUCCGCGUUUCUGAUCAUCAUUAGAUGGGUGCUGUGUCCUUACACAAUGUGAAUUAUCUUCCCCCGAGUGAAGGGGCUCUUGAAGGACUGGUAUUUGCCAUCUUGUGGGGCAUUCCCUGAAUACCUCUAGCAAGAGAAGAACCUGCAGAGCCACACAGAGACACCAGAGGGCAGCAGAGUCUCUAAACUGAAAAAAAGAAAUGGACAGGCCUCUGGCUGGGACGUGAACUGCACAAACCACAGAAACGGAGACGUUCCAAAGGGCUUCAAGGAACCCGAGAAUGGCCUCUGUGCUGACCUGUAGAGAUUUUCAAUUAGUAUAAGAUCGCUGAAAAAAAAAAAAAAACUCUCAGCCAGAACUUUCUAGAGUUACUUUCAUAGCUGCCGAAAAAGCAAAACCCAACAUGACAGCAAACAAUCUAACAGACAAAUGAUUUUCUAAAUCGGUAUUUAACUGUGCUUAUGCCAGAUUCAUACGCUGAGGACCUGGGAGGUGAAGAACACAGCCUGUUGAAGAUGCCUUUCCUUGUUAAGACAGCAGAAGGGAUCUACCUGCUCGGACAUCUGGCUCCAGACCCUGAAGUCUGGCUUGAACAACCUAGCCACUUUCUGUGUAUUCAAGUCCUGUCCACAUAAUAAAUGGGGAGGUUGGGUGCUUUCCCCAAUGCCAAA